GGCUGUGACAAUACCAGCCGUAAUGCACAGGAUCCCAUUAGAACUCUGUAGUUUAGCGUGCUUGCGGGAUAGUAGUACUAUGAUGGGUGACCUUCUAGGAAGUCCCCAUUUUUCACCUUCC
rnacentral:rRNA from 1 species